rnacentral:rRNA from 1 species
GGUUUCAGUACUACUAGCUGUGAGGAGGAGGAGGUUAGCCUUGAUGGCCAGGUGGUACCUCGGAAGGACACCUUUCGGUAUUUGGGGUCAAUGUUGCAGGAGGAUGGGGGUAUUGAUGAAGAUGUGAACCAUCGAAUCAAAGCCGGAUGGAUGAAGUGGCGCCAAGCUUCUGGCAUUCUCUGUGACAAGAGAGUGCCACAAAAGCUAAAAGGCAAGUUCUACAGGACGGUGGUUCGACCCGCAAUGUUGUAUGGCGCGGAGUGUUGGCCGACUAAAAGGCGACAUGUUCAACAGUUAGGUGUGGCGGAGAUGCGUAUGUUGAGAUGGAUGUGUGGCCACACGAGGAAGGAUCGAGUCCGGAAUGAUGAUAUACGAGAUAGAGUUGGGGUAGCACCAAUUGAGGAGAAGCUUGUCCAACAUCGUUUGAGAUGGUUUGGGCAUAUUCAGCGCAGGCCUCCAGAAGCUCCAGUGCAUAGCGGACGGCUAAAGCGUGCGGAGAAUGUCAAGAGAGGGCGGGGUCGACCGAUUUUAACAUGGGAGGAGUCCGUUAAGAGAGACCUGAAGGAUUGGAGUAUCGACAAAGAGCUAGCUAUGGACAGG